rnacentral:rRNA from 1 species
UACGAAGGGGGCUAGCGUUGCUCGGAAUCACUGGGCGUAAAGGGCGCGUAGGCGGACUUUUAAGUCAGGGGUGAAAUCCUGGAGCUCAACUCCAGAACUGCCUUUGAUACUGAGGAUCUUGAGUUCGGGAGAGGUGAGUGGAACUGCGAGUGUAGAGGUGAAAUUCGUAGAUAUUCGCAAGAACACCAGUGGCGAAGGCGGCUCACUGGCCCGAUACUGACGCUGAGGCACGAAAGCGUGGGGAGCAAACAGGGAUAGA